AUAAAUAUUUCAGGAAAGUUCAAGCCAGAUCUGCUACAGAAAACUGAACAUAAAGUGGCAUACUUUUGUGUCAGGAAAUGAGGAACAUGUAUGGCUGGACUGAGAAUCUAACUGGAGAUCCCUGCAUCACUACUUACAUAUCCCAUGGAAAUAUAGGAUCCUUGGCUAAUCAAGUGUCAUCUGCAGUGUUACAAAAGAAUAUUGGAUAUCAAUAAGAAAAAGAACUAUCAGAAGGAGACGGUAAAGAGGAACGGACAAAUCACACCAUAAGACGUGCUUCAAAAUCUGAAUAUACAGAAUGAAUUUUGCUAACUGCAGAUCACCUUGUGAAAGAACACCUUUGUUGUAUUGACAUAAAAACAACGGAAUUGUCAGGAUCCAUGAACAUGACGCACCUGGCUGCAUACGAUGGCAAUUAAAAAUACAUACAUGUUUACACUGAUCUUUGUUAGCCAAUAAGACAAAAAGCAAAAUAGCAAGUUUAUCCUAUUACCGUACAUGUACUGAAUGUAUUCACUUUAUUUUGUUGAACUACAUCAUGAGUUUAAAAAUUGUACAGUAUCAUAUACAGUUUAUGGUGGGAUUCCUCCAACUUUUAUGAAUCUGUUUGCAAAAUCUAUACUUUAAGGUUACAAAAUAUUACCUCUAAUUCAUUGUAUGCUUUUUUUUGUAAAUUAUUACAUUAUUUUUGUAUGUACGUAAUGAUAAACAAAUCACCCUAUUUUCCCGCACUUUUUACCAUGUGAUGCUUUAGUGUAUUAAUAUCUGACAACUGAUGACCAGCCAGUCUUCAUUUAACAGUGUAAUACAUAACCCAUUUUUAUCUGAAUAUUUUUAA